GGGAUAGGGAGAGGUAAGGGGAAAGAGACCCUGCUUGCAAACAAAAGGGCAGAUUCGAAGGCUGGAGGGUAGAACCCACACGCAGGAAGGAGUUCCCUGUGCUCCCCACCCCCACCAGCCCUUAGCCCUCCACAACUCUUAGCAGGUGAAAUAAAAGACUUCAGAUCUAGGUAAAGUGGAUACCCCAUUAGGGGUAAGACAUUAUGUCGGGAAUUUGCCUGCUUCUUUGCUUUGUUUUCAGCCGAUCCUUUAGGAAAACCCUCUGUCGGUUUGGAUAUUAGUAUUAAAGCAACCCAUACAAAUGCAGGCAGCUGCAACCAUAGACAUCCUGAUGAAAAGCCAGUCGGUCUGUGCAUUCGAUUGGAAUUUCAGAAGAUAAUUGUUUCAUUCCCAGGUCUGUCCCUGGCUCACCAUUUGACCUCAGACUAAUUGCUUAAUCUCUCUUGGCUUCAGAUCUCCUACUUUGAAAGUGAGAAUAAUAAUAACUUCCAACUACCUAUCUCAUCCGGGUACUGAAUGGAUUAAUAGGGUCAUGUUUGCAAAGUCCUGGGAAACUCUCAAGAAAGAAAACGUCCCUGCGCCUUGGCAACUUGGUAACAUUCUAGGCUGGGUAGGGCUGAGCUCAGUGAGCCAUUACCACAGAGGGAUGUAGUACCUUCAUUUCAUACCUAAGGGAUGGCUCCUUCUGAAAGCAGGGUUUUCAUCACCCCAAAACCUCUAAUGUGUUUGUUGGUGCAACAAGAGGAAACUGCUGUGGUAAGCCACUCUUGCACCUCUGUUGCAACCAUACACACGAUUCCUCAGAGCCUUUCUGCCCUCGCAAUGCAUAGGCUGACUGGAGGGAGGGGGUGUCACAUAGACCAGGGCUGCCGCUUCCUGAGUGGGUGAUCCCAAGCACAUCACUUGAUCUUCCUUUGCCUCCUUGACACCGAGCAAGAGCACUUGACAAUCUGUCAGGAGAUAUUAGCACAAACACAGAUGGUGUGUCAGUCUCUGCACCUCUCUCUUAGCACCGCCAGGUGUGAUGAUCACUGGUUGGUCCUUACUCAGUCCAAGCCCCUGCGCCCAUCAGAGCGUGUGCUUAUCAAGAGCCUGGCUAACUUGCAGUCGUCCGCUAACAACAACCUCUUUCUGUGAGCCCUCUAGAUCUCCGAAAAUGAAAAAUCAAAAGGAAAACAAAACAAAACAAAACAAAACAAAACAAAACGCUGUGUUGGGGAUUUGUGCAAAUUUCCACAGCUCAUUUUUCUUUCAUGGCUGACUUAGCCCCAUCUCUUGACUUCCCAGGUGCAGUACCACAUUGAUAAAGGACAAGACGCAUGCCAAGUAUUAUGCUAAACACUCAGAGUGAAUGUGUGAAUAUGUCCCAUCAUUGCAAAAGCCCAGCAAGAGACGGAGAAAGACUCUUAGGCGAGGAAGAUGGUAAAUUCCAGAAGGGCAUGUAUUGUACCUGAUUUUUACCUAGAUAAAGGAUGAACAGCCUGUGAAUCAAGAUCCUACUUUGGGUGACACUGGUCAGAGCCAUAGGUACAGAUGAAGACUCUACACUGUGGGCAGUGACCUGUUUCAUGAAAGUGUGGCAAGCAGAAGCAAACUGAAGAUUAGUGUUCUGUGAUUCUACCACACACCUGAUGCCACAAGAACAUGGUCUAAUUCACUGUGGUGAAUACAUUGUCACGUGUAAGCAAGACACCCACGACUCUGGUUUGCCAGACAUCAGUAUUUGCCAUGUAUAGCCGCAAAGAAGAAGGCAUCAGAUGGACUGUCUUUCCAUUGCUCUUCUAGGGUAAUUGUCUCCCUUCAUUUCCUUCCUUUAUCCCUUUCAUCUCUCCUUUGAUCCUCUUGGUAUAGCCACCCCUCUCCUUCACUGUCCUCCUUUCCUUCUUUCCUCUUCACCUCCUUCUGGUUUUGACCGCUGCUUCAGCCCCAAGGAAUUGAGAGUCCUGAGUUACAGCUCUUGCAGUCCCUUAAGUGAGUUGCUUUCCUCGUUUCUUUCAGCUCUCUUUGCUCCCCUGAAAUGUCAGAAUGACCAAGCCUCUUGCUAACUUCAGUGGUUAGGGGUCAAAGACAUUCUGUAGGUAUAAUGUUCCUCACAGAUAAAGGUGUUUCUGGAUAAAAGUGGGAGACAAAUCUAUUUUUUAUUUCAUGGGUCUAAAUCUCAAUGAGACAGGCAGACAGACAUGAAAGAUGGGGAGGGGGGAGAGAGAGAGAGAGAGAGAGAGAGAGAGAGAGAGAGAGAGAGAGAGAGAGAGAGAGACCUUAGCUAUAAGCUAUUCUCUCAAGGUAGACUACUUGUACAAUAUCCAAAGUGCCACUUUCUCUGAGCCUCCUCUUGGAAGAGUAACAAUAAAAGACUCACUGUAAAGAAUUUUGGGCUGGGGAUUUAGCUCAGUGGUAGAGCGCUUGCCUAGGAAGCACAAGGCCCUGGGUUCGGUCCCCAGCUCCGAAAAAAAGAACCACAAAAAAAAAAAAAAAAAAAAGAAUUUCUAAGGGUGUCAAACCCACUGUCUAGAUAGACUCUCUGUGUAAAUUUUCUAGGGUUUUCCAGCCAGCCAAGGAGGACCCUAAUGUUGAACUUGCCCUAUAAGCUUUUUCGCCAUGUUACCUUCCAGCACUGCUACUUAGCUAGGACCUCAACCCAGUGGACUUACCAACACAAAGUAGCAGAAUGAAUGCCUGUGCCCACUUUGGUGAGCUUUAGUCAUAUCCAUACAUCGGAGACGUCCUUCUGCAAUUCAUUCCACCUUUGGCAUCUAAUCACUUCACAAUUAUGAUUUUACGUGCAUUGGUGUUUUGUUUGCAUGCGUGUCUGUGUGAAGGUGUCAGAUAACUCCCUAGAAUACGAGUUAGACAAGUAUGUCCUCCCAUGUGGAUGCUGGGAAUUGAACCUAGGUCUUAUGAAAGAGCAACCAGUGCUCUUAACUGCUGAGUCAUCUCUGCAGUUCUCAGUCGUUAUGGAUGAACUAAAAUGGACAGACCAUCAGGAUCUGGCCAAGCCAGUCCUAACACAACAAGGGGAUGAAUGGUGUCCCAUCAGUGCUUGGUAAGUAAGUGGGGGAAGAUAUGAAAUAUGUGUUGAAUUAGCCAACACUAAAUACAUGAAUGAAUAGUGAAUGACUAUCAGUGGUGCCUACGGCCAUUUCUUUCCAUGUGUUUUAAGCUGCCCCCUGAUUUAUUUUUUGUAGCCAUAAUGCGGUUCCAACAAACUGACUCUAAAUUUAUGAUUUGCUUUUAUGUUCUGCUGGUGACUUUUGAAAUAGAGGCUGACAUGCCAUGCUUUGAAUCCCGUUUUCAAAUAGUUAAGGAAUAUUUUCAAACCUCCCUGAGUGGAGGAGGCAAGACAAGAGAGGGAUGGCGCUUAUGUACCAGCUAAUCUCUGUUAUGACAAAUCUGUAUGACUAAGGAGUGAGGGCCAUGGGGGUAGGGCCAUGCCCCUUGGCUGAGUAGAAGAGGGUUGUCCACAGAUGACACAUGACUGGAGCCAUCGAGUUCCUGUAUAUACUUGGUAGAUAUAUGUACCCACUGGAAUAGGUAAAUCUAAUCCCUUGCAAUUUUUCAUUUCACUUCCUUGAGUUCUGUGGUAUUACCAAGGGGCAACUGGUUUUCUUCUGGGUGAAGUGGAAAUCUUUGCUUAAUUCAAAACCACUUACAUUAAAUACGUACAGCUACAUGGGGAUCUUUUGCAAGAGAGAAUGUUAUUCAUGCUUUUCAAAAUCAAUGAAUCGUCACUUGACCUUAACUGACAUGUAUAGAUCACUGUACUUGGGAGUUAAACUGAGUGAGGAAAAGCAGCUUUUACUCAAAAUCCGAUUGUUUAUUGAUAUAUGUUUGGGAAGUCAUAACAGAGUCACGUUUUUGAGUAGGACAAUGGCAAACUAUGCAAAAUUAAAACGACUCACAAUACAGUUUGCUACUUAGAACUAUGUGAAAUUCCCCCAAAGGAGACUAGGAAUAUUCACACAGACUAAGAGUUCAUAUAGACUAAGAUAGAAUAAUUCAAGUUAAAAUUCAAUUAAAUAUACAAUUGAGUUGGUAAAUCAUAACAUCCUGGACAAAUUUUAAAAUACAGUCAACUUCCUGGAUACCAUACUAGCAUAAUGGUGAGGUUAAGAAGUCCAGGUAUCUCACUUAAAUGUUGCUAGUAUGUGGCCCUCUUUCAACAUUUUUUUUCUACUAUUGAUUUGGUAACUAACAUUAAAGGUCAUGUCUGGAGAGAUGCUCCUGGGAACAUAAAAACUUGAGUCCAGUCUCCAAAGCCCAGUUAAAAGCCAGGCACCAGGCACCUGGGAUCCUAACACUGAAGAAAUAGAGAUAGGCAGGCCCUGUGGAUCACUGGCCAGUCAGUCUGGCCUAGUACACAAGCUCUAGGUUCAAUGAGAGACCCUUUCUCAAACACUGAGAUGAAAAUUGAUUGAGGAAGACACCUAUCAUCUCUGACCCCUGCAUGUUUGCACUCAAAUCCACAUACAUAUGAAUAUACCUGCAUAUAAGCUAUGUCCUCAUUGGCAAGUAAGGAGCAGAAAAAACUAAACACCAUCCCUCAGUGACACACUUCUUACAACAAGGCCGAACCUCCUAAUCCUUCCCAAACACCAACUGUCACAGAAAUAUCCAAAUUUAUAAUCCUGUGGGAGUUAUCCUCGUUUAAAUCAUCACACAUAUAUGAUGCACUAAUCACACACACGUACACUUGUAUAUAUACUGAAAUCAAUGACGUUAUCUGAACUCAAUGUUUAGAGCAGCAGAAGUAGCCAAGGUACAGAAUCAAUCUAAGUAGUCAUCAACAGAUGAAUCAGAAAAGAAAAUGUCAUACAGACUGGGGAGGUAGCCCAAUGAUAAAGCACUUGCUUAGCUAUGUAGGAGGCUCUGGGUCUAAUUCCCACCAUUGUACAAUAAAUGCAUAAGAAAGAAGAUGGGACACACGUACACAAUUAAAUGCCUUUCUCUUUUAAGAAAUACUGUCAUUUAGUACAAGAUGAGCCUAGAGGACAUUGUGUGAACAGAAAUAAUCCAGCUACAAAAAGGCAUAGUCAAUGAUUUUAAUUUCAUAUGUAUUUUUUUUUAAAAAAUCAAAUUUCUAGAAGUAGAAUAAUGGUCAUAAGGUCUUAUGAUUUGGAUCUGGAAAGGUCUUCGAAGGUUUGUGAGUUGAAGACAUGAUCUCCCAUGCAACAGUGUUCUGAAGUAAGCGGGCUUGUGAGAGCUGUGAGCCCAUCGGUGUAUUGAUCUCUCAUGUUCACAGCUGAGUGGACUCUAGAGAAGUUGUAGAAACUGUAAGAAGUGAGGCCUUAUGGGAGGAAGUUGGCCAUCAGUGAUCUACUGAUGUUGGUACAAGUGACUACUGUACCUUGUCCAGCCCCGCUCCCUCAUAGCUGCUGUUAUGGGAGGAGCUUUAUUGUCACACCCUCCCUCUGACGAUGUUCUAUCUCACCCUAGGCCUAAAGCAACCCACCCAUCCAAAUAAACAAAGCAGACCCUUACCCCUUAGCUUUCAGACAGUUCAUCCUACCACUGAAAAGCUGACUCACAUACUAGGUUGAGGAGGGAGGAACCUGGGGAAAUGUCAAUCAAAGGAUACAAAAUUUCAAUUAUAUAAGACAAAAUUUCAAAGGAUGUACUGUAUGAUACAUUGAUUGCAGUUAAUAAUGUAUUAUUGGGAAUUGAUGACCACAGAUUAUGUUAGAGUUCUUUGGCUAAGAUUAUAGCAUGGGGGAGAAUACCUGCCUAGCAUGACUAAAGCCCUGGGUUACAUCCCCAGCAGACACAAAAGAAAGCACAGACGUUCUCUGCAUAGGAAAGAAUGAUGGCUAUGUAACUGUUAAGUAGCUUGAUUUAGCCAUAACGCAUUUACACACCACAACUUGUAUGCAGUUACUUUUCUCUUACUGUAAAGAGACACCAACUUAAAAUCUGCCCAUUAAAUAUGAAUAAAAUUUAUGCCUAAUAUUUAAUGAUAAUGUCUCAGGGAUGGGACUGGUAAGGAGAUUAAAAAUGAAUAAAAUUUAUGUUUAAUACUUAAAGAUAAUGUCUCGGGGAUGGAACUGGGGGAGAGAGUAGCUUACAUUCAUCAGCACUGGGAAAUGUCUUGUCUUUCUCGGGCUGAGCCUGUUUUAGCAUUCACUUCAGGCUGUCUCUAGAUCAGCUGUCAGCUUGACAGAUAGUUCUGAGAAGGCAGAGUCUGGGAGGGACAGAUCUGCUCCGUAUAAAAAUCUAGUUAGAACCAAGUCUGCCCUGUGCCAGCUCCUCCCUAAAGGGUUCUGAUGCUUCUUGCAGUUGGUACUACAGCAUGUUCCAGUCCAGUAAAUGGGCAAUAAACUUUGUGUGUCUAGAUUUCCCUUCUAGAGAGAGGAGCUUAGCUAAAUGGUAGAGCAGUCUGCUACUACAUACCUGGGAGUAGCUGUGUGUUGGGUUUGUGGGAAAACUAAUGGACUUGAUGAGGAAGCUAACCCUGACUUCCAAAGCCUGACUGCACAGAUUUAGACCCACAGUACUCACAGCUGCAAAACAGGUCAAUAAUAAAAUAGAACAAAAGAAAAACCCAACCCUUUUGUUCUGUCUCUCUAAGAAAUCCAGCUUCUCUCAAGUGGAGAAAAGGGCCACCUGCUCCCUGGAAGUGGUCAGUCUGGGCUUUUCUCAACCCAGUCAGUAACUGCUUGGUGGCCCCUGUUAAAUACAGAUCUGAUUGCCUUGAGUGGCCUUCCAGAACCAGGCAUUUCAGAAGCAAAUGCCAGCCCAGAGGGCAAACUCAUAGGUCAUGGUGAGGAGUCAAUAAAAUAGAAUGUCACCUAUCUGUGGAGGAAAAUUAUUUCUCUUUUUGGACACUCUCUACUUCAGGGAAAGGGGCUGAGAGAAAGCUGGGGGAACAUGUGGGAGUCGGGAAGACACCUUCGGGGGUCUAGUUUUGUCUAUGAUGCUACAAGUAGAUGACCUGUAAUGGUGACUUCCUUGACACUCAGGCCAACACCAUGGUGAGAACAGCCCUUCCUUCAUUCAUAUUUUAGUGAAUGUUCACUGUAUCCGUCAUGUGAAAUCACAGCCCUGAGCAAGAUUAACCGCCUCCCUGCAUUUACAUUCUAGUGCAGGCAAAUGGAGAGCGGUCACAUAUGCCUGUGAACUCAAUAGAGGCAUUUUUGAUCUGAAGGAAGGGAGAAUAUCACCCCCACAGUGGGGACAGGAGUGGGGACCCAUGGAGACAGAGCAGAAAUUGCUUCAGAUCAAUGUGUCCAUGGCAGAGGUGGCUGUAAGACAGUGAGGUCAUCCAGAUAGGACCCUUUAGAGUUGACCAUAAGGUCCAAGGAGACCCUAAAGAACUUUCAGCAAGGUAGAGACAUGGCCCUAGCCGCCUCGUGAGAACAAGCAUUCAGCAUUGUGUGGAAGAACCCCCAUUUCAAGCUGUGUCCUGAGAGCAAGAAAGAAAGGUAAGAACUGGGGGGUGGGGGUGGGCAGGGUGGUGCUGGAUCUGGACCAGGAUGUUACUCUUGAUGGUGGAAGGAAAGGGGAGUUCUGGCUUCUAGGUUAGGCAAUUUCUGAUAGCCACCACCAUAAAACUCAACCGGCAUCAUCAGGGUGUCUCUGAGGCAGCUGAUUCCUGUUCGGUGUAGCAUGUAUCUGAAGCUGCUAAGUCCCAUGUCCUGCCACUAAGACUGGGGUCUUGGGGCUCUGUGACCUCUCCUUUAGCUUUCCCCUUUCGCCUGCAACAGCUAACACGACCGAAGUAAGGCAAUGAGAAUGCAGUAAGAGCUGAGGAAGGUCUCGUGUGAGACUUCUCAUUCAAUCCUUGCCUCUACCCCAGCAGUACUUGUCCCACCCUUAUAGAAUCCCCUCAUCAUGCUGAAACCCCCUGCCACUCCUGUUCCUUUCCAGCAUCCCAUCCCAUCUUCUCCAAAAUGUCACCCAGGGAUCUUGCCACCAUCAGUGCUGAAAUCUCAGUGUUUGCCAUUUUGGAGCAGCCACCACCGACAGGAGUUGGGCCAAGGCCUUCUGUACACUGCCAGUGAAUCCAACAGCUUCACUAAGUCCUUGGCUUAGUUCUUCUUCACACAGGAGAACACUGAGACUCCCAGGGAGGGGCACAAGGUUCCUGCAGAGUCACUCACUCAUUCAACAGGAGCCAGAACCAGCCCUGCCCCCAAAUCACUUUUUUUUUCUUUUCUGACUGUCCUUUAAAGACCAACAAUAACAAACAAAUACCAACAACUGAUAUAGGAACAAAAUAUCCACUGGAGACCGUCAGGAAGUCCCACCCAGCCUAAGAAGAGAGGCUACUGACUGAGAGCUGGCCCUGGGCACACAGAGUUUGAGAUUCUCUUUGGUUGUUUUCUUUUUCGAGACACGGUCUUUCUGUGCAGCCCAGGUUGUCCAGGAACUCUGUAGACCAGGCUGGCCGCCAACUCGGAGAUCUGCCUGUCUCUGCCUCCGAAUGCUGAGAUUAAAUGUGUGUGCACCAUGGCCACCAUGCCCAGCUGAGCUUAAGAUUCUUAAGGCACUUCUCUGAGUCUGCCCAGAGACCAAAAAUACCCCCUAACCUCAAGAGAGCCUUUGUCCCCCAUAAGCUGGUGGCUAGUGGCAGUAUUAUGUGAUGGGAUUACUUUGACUGUGGCCAUGUGAUGCUGGGAAGCCCCUCCAGCCCCUUCCGGCCUCUUUGUCCUUUUUCUAGUGUUCCAUCUGCACUACCCUCACACAGCCCUGCUGCUCUUGACUCUGAAGGAAAGAGGUAAACAUCUUUGGGGCGCUUUAUUAGUUUAUUUCAGAAGAUGGAGCCUGUUUGUCCCUAGGGCCCAGCCCUCUUUUAUGGCCUCCAGGCCCUCUUGACAAAUUCUAGUGACUGGAGAGAAAACCCGCUUUCUACAGCAGAUCAUUAAAACACCCACCAUAAACCCAGGGCCAUAAAACAUUAUUUGCCAGGCAUAAAAAGAGGGUAGAUUUUCCCAGAAUGACAACCCAGGCCCUGCUUUCUCCCGCUGGGAAAGGCGGCACACGGAUGCCGUCGUUCAUAAAUUCCUUAUCUUGCACCGAGCUUUGGGAAAAGAACCCUGUUGGGAAAGCAGCCAAAAAAAUAUUGAUUUAUUUGUUUAAUGAGAGAAGCAUGGUGAUGCCCUGCCUGUGUGUCUUCAGAUGACUUAAUCAGAGAACACACGCCCCAGUACAACCAAAAAGUUUGCCAGGAGAUGAGGGGCUUCCACAAACUGGAGGCUCCCCUUUGGGAGCCUUCCUAGGUGGAGAGGCAUUGAUUUCUCCCUUUCAGUCUGUUAGUUUCCUAAUUAAACCAGGCAGCACCCACAAUGCAACUGUUUCUUAGAAUGCAGUCUAGCUUUCUAGGGCACUCGCCCUUGGCCCCUCACUAAAGACUCAAAGGGGAUUUCCCAUUUGUUCAGGACUGAAGGACAGGACUGAGGUCUUUAGGACUUGGAGCUCAGGGUUUCAGUGGCAUAGCCCUGUGCAACCAUUAUUAAAACCACCAGCUCUAAAGCUCUCAGCCCUUUCUCUGAAGUCAUCGGGACCAGAUAGGCUUGCUGGAAAUCUUGCCAACUUUUUUUCUUGAACGAUAAAAUAUAGUAUAUGAUUCAAAUAGCAGUUCUGAUGUCUGGGGAAAUAGCUAAUAAUCAAAUAUGUUGUAUUUCUUCAGUUGGAAGGAUGAACGGUCUCUGGCAGUGAAAUAAAAGACGGUCUAGUCAAAAUUUGCAUGCCACGAAGGGGGUUUGAAAAAAAAAAACCUCAAUUUUUUUCAGAAUUGAUUUUUUUUUUCCCCUAGAAAAGUCAGUGUCUACCAACACUGAGUACGUAGUCCAGAAUGAGUGUGUCUGUGGUCAUUUUGGCGCAGUCUUACCCCUCUCUAGUUUUAAAAGCCAUUCUAUUCCACUCUAAGUGCCCUCCUGGGCACCCCACUUUUACUUUCUCUUUGGUUUUGCUUGUGGGGUGUGUGUGUGUGUGUGUGUGUGUGUGUGUGUGUGCGCGUGCGUGUGUGUGUGUGUGUGUGUGUGUGUGCGUGUGAUAUUCAGAAAUUAUGGAGGUGCUGAGAGGUCGUGUGAGCAUGUAGAAAGUAGCAGGGGAGGAACUGGGACUCCAGGCUUCAUCUUCCAUCAGAAGAUGAACCGCUGAGGCUGGGCCUAACCCCAAAAAGCAACUGUGGAGAAAAGCACAAUUUUUCAGGUCACUCAGGCAACAGCUAAGUAAAGGAACGGAAAUGCUCGGUGUUUUUGCUUUGCCUGUUAAGUGGAAGGGAUUUUGCCUUCUAUCCUGUUCAUUUAUGUAGCCUGCCUCUGGAAUCCAGGGCACUUGGGAGCCAGGUGGCUUCUCUGCCCUUUGUGGGCCUCUGUUCACAGCUACUCCCUGCUUGUUUUCAACAGCCACUGGUGAGUUGUAUCCUGGAGAUGUGCUAGCCCAGGGCCGAGCUGGGAUGCUUGCCUGGGGACACCUGGGCUGGGGGUGGAGGGGCAUGGGAAUUUCUUUGCAGCUGCAGCUACAGAGCCAAAUAGCUGGAAGGGAAGCGAAGAGAGGAGAGAGAGCCUGGAAGCAAUUCUCCUGAUUGAAAAAACGAAACAAAACAAAACAAAACAAACAAAACCAAAAAACAACUCAC